AAAUUGAAGAGUUUGAUCAUGGCUCAGAUUGAACGCUGGCGGCAGGCCUAACACAUGCAAGUCGAACGGUAACAGGAAGCAGCUUGCUGCUUCGCUGACGAGUGGCGGACGGGUGAGUAAUGUCUGGGAAACUGCCUGAUGGAGGGGGAUAACUACUGGAAACGGUAGCUAAUACCGCAUAAUGUCGCAAGACCAAAGAGGGGGACCUUCGGGCCUCUUGCCAUCGGAUGUGCCCAGAUGGGAUUAGCUUGUUGGUGGGGUAACGGCUCACCAAGGCGACGAUCCCUAGCUGGUCUGAGAGGAUGACCAGCCACACUGGAACUGAGACACGGUCCAGACUCCUACGGGAGGCAGCAGUGGGGAAUAUUGCACAAUGGGCGCAAGCCUGAUGCAGCCAUGCCGCGUGUAUGAAGAAGGCCUUCGGGUUGUAAAGUACUUUCAGCGGGGAGGAAGGGAGUAAAGUUAAUACCUUUGCUCAUUGACGUUACCCGAAGAAGAAGCACCGGCUAACUCCGUGCCAGCAGCCGCGGUAAUACGGAGGGUGCAAGCGUUAAUCGGAAUUACUGGGCGUAAAGCGCACGCAGGCGGUUUGUUAAGUCAGAUGUGAAAUCCCCGGGCUCAACCUGGGAACUGCAUCUGAUACUGGCAAGCUUGAGUCUCGUAGAGGGGGGAGAAUUCCAGGUGUAGCGGUGAAAUGCGUAGAGAUCUGGAGGAAUACCGGUGGCGAAGGCGGCCCCCUGGACGAAGACUGACGCUCAGGUGCGAAAGCGUGGGGAGCAAACAGGAUUAGAUACCCUGGUAGUCCACGCCGUAAACGAUGUCGACUUGGAGGUUGUGCCCUUGAGGCGUGGCUUCCGGAGCUAACGCGUUAAGUCGACCGCCUGGGGAGUACGGCCGCAAGGUUAAAACUCAAAUGAAUUGACGGGGGCCCGCACAAGCGGUGGAGCAUGUGGUUUAAUUCGAUGCAACGCGAAGAACCUUACCUGGUCUUGACAUCCACGGAAGUUUUCAGAGAUGAGAAUGUGCCUUCGGGAACCGUGAGACAGGUGCUGCAUGGCUGUCGUCAGCUCGUGUUGUGAAAUGUUGGGUUAAGUCCCGCAACGAGCGCAACCCUUAUCCUUUGUUGCCAGCGGUCCGGCCGGGAACUCAAAGGAGACUGCCAGUGAUAAACUGGAGGAAGGUGGGGAUGACGUCAAGUCAUCAUGGCCCUUACGACCAGGGCUACACACGUGCUACAAUGGCGCAUACAAAGAGAAGCGACCUCGCGAGAGCAAGCGGACCUCAUAAAGUGCGUCGUAGUCCGGAUUGGAGUCUGCAACUCGACUCCAUGAAGUCGGAAUCGCUAGUAAUCGUGGAUCAGAAUGCCACGGUGAAUACGUUCCCGGGCCUUGUACACACCGCCCGUCACACCAUGGGAGUGGGUUGCAAAAGAAGUAGGUAGCUUAACCUUCGGGAGGGCGCUUACCACUUUGUGAUUCAUGACUGGGGUGAAGUCGUAACAAGGUAACCGUAGGGGAACCUGCGGUUGGAUCACCUCCUUA
rnacentral:rRNA from 1 species